AGGUUAUGAUGUGGGCAUUUCCUUAACAAGUCUUUAAAUAUCUCCCACGCCUCAAAUAAUGAUUUAGUGUCCAACUGUACAUAAGCUAUAAUCUCUUGACACAACUU